rnacentral:rRNA from 1 species
CAGGCCUAACACAUGCAAGUCGAACGGCAGCACGGGAGCAAUCCUGGUGGCGAGUGGCGAACGGGUGAGUAAUACAUCGGAACGUGCCCAAUCGUGGGGGAUAACGCAGCGAAAGCUGUGCUAAUACCGCAUACGAUCUGCGGAUGAAAGCGGGGGAUCUUCGGACCUCGCGCGAGUGGAGCGGCCGAUGGCAGAUUAGGUAGUUGGUGGGGUAAAGGCCUACCAAGCCUGCGAUCUGUAGCUGGUCUGAGAGGACGACCAGCCACACUGGGACUGAGACACGGCCCAGACUCCUACGGGAGGCAGCAGUGGGGAAUAUUGGACAAUGGGCGAAAGCCUGAUCCAGCAAUGCCGCGUGAGUGAUGAAGGCCUUAGGGUUGUAAAGCUCUUUUACCCGGGAUGAUAAUGACAGUACCGGGAGAAUAAGCUCCGGCUAACUCCGUGCCAGCAGCCGCGGUAAU